rnacentral:rRNA from 1 species
GAUGAACGCUGGCGGCGUGCCUAACACAUGCAAGUCGAACGAAGCCCUUUGUAUUCGUAUGAAGGUGUCCUAGUGGCGAACGGGUGAGUAACACGUAGGUAACCUACCCCGAAGACGGGGGAUAACCCCGGGAAACUGGGGCUAAUACCCCAUGUGCUCCACGGUAUUAGAUGACCAUGGAGUAAAGGAGUAAUCCGCUUUGGGAGGGGCCUGCGGCCCAUCAGCUAGUUGGUAGGGUAAUGGCCUACCAAGGCUAUGACGGGUAGGGGGCCUGAGAGGGUGGUCCCCCACACUGACACUGAAACACGGGUCAGACACCUACGGGUGGCAGCAGUAGGGAAUAUUGCACAAUGGGCGAAAGCCUGAUGCAGCAACGCCGCGUGCGCGAUGAAGGCCUUCGGGUUGUAAAGCGCUUUUCUGGGGGAAGAGAAAGGACGGUACCCCAGGAAUAAGUCUCGGCUAACUACGUG